rnacentral:tRNA from 1 species
GAAGUAAUAUGACCCUCAGCUUCUAACUGAGGAAAGAUUAAAUAUGACUAGAUUAUAAAUCUUACUUCU